rnacentral:rRNA from 1 species
GUUGCUUUGGCGGGCCGCUGGGCCCUGCCCGGCCGCCGGUCCCCGGCUGGCGCGUGCCCGCCAGANACCUCACAGACUCUGAAUGUUAGUGUCGUCCGAGUAACUAUACAAUCGUUAAAACUUUCAACAACGGAUCUCUUGGUUCUGGCAUCGAUGAAGAACGCAGCGAAAUGCGAUAAGUAAUGCGAAUUGCAGAAUUCAGUGAGUCAUCGAAUCUUUGAACGCACAUUGCGCCCUGUGGUAUUCCGCAGGGCAUGCCUGUUCGAGCGUCAUUUCAACCCUCAAGCCUCGCUUGGUGAUUGGGCCCUGCCCGCCGCGGCCGGCCCUAAAGAUAGUGGCGGCGCCGCCUGGCCCUCAGCGUAGUACAGCUCUCGCUCCAGGGUCCGGCGGCAGCCUGCCAGAACCCCCCAACUCUGUGGUUGACCUCGGAUCANGUAGGGAUACCCGCUGAACUUAAUGCAUAUCAGUAAGCGAGAGGAAAGUAAACGCGGGUCAAANCGCNAACUUUUAAACCUUUGAUGAUUGACUCACGUUGCCUCGGCGGGUUCGCCCGCCAGAGGAUACAUCAAAACUCCUGUUUUAACGGUGUUGUCUGAGCUACAGCAACGAAUUAAAACUUUCAACAACGGAUCUCUUGUUCUGGCAUCGAUGAAGAACGCAGCGAAAUGCGAUAAGUAGUGUGAAUUGCAGAAUUCAGUGAAUCAUCGAAUCUUUGAACGCACAAUUGCGCCCCUUGGUAUCCCGAGGGG